rnacentral:rRNA from 1 species
CCAUCUGGAAGAAUCUGGAGACAGGUGCUGCAUGGCUGUCGUCAGCUCGUGUCGUGAGAUGUUGGGUUAAGUCCCGCAACGAGCGCAACCCUUGCCUCUAGUUGCCAGCAGUUCGGCUGGGCACUCUAAAGGGACUGCCGGUGUUAAACCGGAGGAAGGUGGGGAUGACACCAAGUCCUCAUGGCCUUUAUGACCAGGGCUACACACGUACUACAAUGGCCGAUACAAAGGGCAGCGACACUGCGAGGUGAAGCCAAUCCCGUAAAAUCGGUCUCAGUCCGGAUUGGAGUCUGCAACUCGACUCCAUGAAGUUGGAAUCGCUAGUAAUCGUGGAUCAGCAUGCCACGGUGAAUACGUUCCCGGGCCUU